AACAAUGUGGUACUAUUAUAAGCAUGAUGAUUGGAUUCUCACAUGUUUACGUGACAUGUGCCUCCUCUAAACCUUGUUAUUAUGAUGUGGGCAUGUUACACAUCUGUUU